rnacentral:rRNA from 1 species
UACGUAGGGUGCAAGCGUUAAUCGGAAUUACUGGGCGUAAAGCGUGCGCAGGCGGUGAUGUAAGACAGGUGUGAAAUCCCCGGGCUUAACCUGGGAACUGCAUUUGUGACUGCAUCGCUGGAGUGCGGCAGAGGGAAUGGAAUUCCGCGUGUAGCAGUGAAAUGCGUAGAGAUGUGGAGGAACACCGAUGGCGAAGGCAGCCCCCUGGGUCAAGAUUGACGCUCAUGCACGAAAGCGUGGGGAGCAAACAGG